AGAUCAGCCGUUGGACUGCAGUCAUACUGGGGCAUCACCGGCUGGAGGUGUUUGGUCGACCUAAUCAACCCCAGAAUUUAUAUUUAAACCUGGUACUUUAUUGGUCUUUUAGUCGAACUGCUAGUUAAUGUGGGCAUGAGCACCAAUACUUGUUGUCAAGCGAGGAGAAACGCGCGUGGGGCGAUCUUUCGCUGUUUCCUUCUAGCAAAUUCACUCACAAUAUAAUAACCGGUCCAAGGUUAUAUAUUAGAAGACCGAGAUACCAGCGGUAGAAGGGAACCUGAAUCCACGAGGUUGCGAAACGAACUUCUUAAGCAAACUACCAGGACCAGGCGAAGAAGACUGAUGUGAUUGAGAAUCUGUAUAUCAUAAAAUAUGAACCGUAAAUUACAUUCAAGAUUUACUAAUUACUAAAGAAUAUUUUCUGUUCAUCACUUUAUAUUUUGAAAAUGUUUAACAUGUUUGCUUGGUUCUUGAAAACUUUGGGAGGAAUAAAAGAAAACUGUGAACUUUAGAAAACAAAAUGUCAAGCUAGAAAGGGAGUCUCUAUGUGGUCGAAACAGCAGCCAAAUCUUCCUCUUAUCACAUCCUUAUAUCCUCCUAUCGUCGUAAAAAGAAAAGAGAAAAAAAAAAAAAAAGAAACCAGGUCACAUUCGACAGUGUAAGAUAUACAUAAAAUGAAAGGAUGGUCCUAGCUGGAACUGCAGUAUGGUUAAACACCAAACUAAUGGAACGUUGUUGAUCUUUACAUCCUAUACUAUCACAUAAAUCAACAUUGGCUAUUAUAGGGCCUAUAAACUUUUCUUUUCUGCUUGAAUUAAUGGCUUUAUUUAUUUCAGCUUUUCCAAUGGUUCUCAACCACACACACACACACACAUGCGGUCGAUGUGAAAUCCAUCACCAGGUGGUGUAUGACGAGAAUAGGGAGAGUAUAAGAGACUGGAAAAUGCCUCAACAGAGGAUGGCCAUGGGCUUGGAAAAUAGGUAAAUGAUGACGAUGGUGAUGAUCAUGUUGAUUAUGUCUGUUGAAACUACCGAUGAAGACGAUAGUGAUGAGGAAUAGAAUUCAUCGUUGAUGUUCAACCUCCAUCAAGUUGGCCUUGAUUAAACAGAUCUAUGACCAAAGGCAGUCCAACUAUGAACAUCCCGACUUUAUUUCGGGUAAUAUAUACCUUGCACAACACUAUCAAUGUUUUCUUUUCAAAAACGGUAAUUAUUCUACGAAUUCUCCUGGUUCAACAAAUGAAACACCUUGAUUAUAGAAAUAUGAACAUAAUGAACUACCAUAAACCAUAAGUAAAACUGAAUGUACUCAGAAAUUGACUCCCUGACAUCUCAGAAAUGAUCCACCAAAUUUCUUCAUAAUGUAACAGCUGGCAGCCAUUGAGAAAAGACUGUAUGCAUAAUAAAUUUCUCCUAAACACUUGCCUGUUUGUUCAAUAAUCUUUUUUUUUAUUAUUAUUAUUAUUUCACUCUUGAUAUUCUAAAUGUUUCUGCAAUGUUCUUCAUCAUCACCAUUAUUAUUGUUUUAAUAACCACUUUUCCAUGCUAGCAUGGAUCAGAGAGAGACUAUUGAGGCAGAUAUUCUACAGUUCAGCCAGAUGCCUUUCCUGUCACCAACCUUUACCUCUUUACAAGCAGCAUAAUAUUUUCCCAUAGCCAGACAUGCUUUUGCAGAAUAUUAGAAAUGAAUGACAUGCAUUUACAACCGGGGUUGCCAAAGGGAUCCAAGGGAGCCCCUAGGAGUUGGCAAGGAAUAACAGGUGGUUGAUGAUAGCCAAGGGGUCGAAUGGGGAGUCAGUGUGCGAAAGACCAGCUCACC